AUUGAACGCUGGCGGCAGGCCUAACACAUGCAAGUCGAGCGGAUGAAGGGAGCUUGCUCCUGGAUUCAGCGGCGGACGGGUGCGUAAUGCCUAGGAAUCUGCCUGGUAGUGGGGGAUAACGUCCGGAAACGGGCGCUAAUACCGCAUACGUCCUGAGGGAGAAAGUGGGGGAUCUUCGGACCUCACGCUAUCAGAUGAGCCUAGGUCGGAUUAGCUAGUUGGUGGGGUAAAGGCCUACCAAGGCGACGAUCCGUAACUGGUCUGAGAGGAUGAUCAGUCACACUGGAACUGGGACACGGUCCAGACUCCUACGGGAGGCAGCAGUGGGGAAUAUUGGACAAUGGGCAAAAACCUGAUCCAGCCGUGCCGCGUGUGUGAAGAAGGUCUUCGGAUUGUAAAGCACUUUAAGUUGGGAGGAAGGGCAGUAAGUUAAUACCUUGCUGUUUUGACGUUACCAACAGAAUAAGCACCGGCUAACUUCGUG
rnacentral:rRNA from 1 species